CUUUUCUCUUUUGCCAUUUUCUAUAGAUCAAUAAAGAACACAUUCAAUAUCACGAAUUUACGACUCAAACAAACCAAAAUCCAAUCAUAGUGUGCGUGCGUGUUCCCCAUAACCAGAGGCUACGGAACAUCUUUUCUAUAUGAUGGACGGUUCUAAUCCUUCUAUGAAACGGCGAAAUUACAAUUACAGUACUACUAUUUGAAAAUAAUACCCAAGAGUGAUUAUUACAUAAACAUAGGCCUAAAACUAGAAUUAAAUCAACUGCAAAGUAAGCUACUCAAGAACUUCACAUAACAGCCGCAGAGAAACUACACUAUUUAUAUUGCCACAGCACGAUAGAACCCUUGGAUAAAAUCCCAUAAGAAAUCACCCAAAAUCUGACACUAUUUAUAAGCAUACUGGGAGAGGAAAUUGGUCACCUCACCUGCAACUUCAUAAGCUCCUUCUACGCAUCGGCCCAAAGCCACUCCAGAAACAUAAUUGCCCCCCAAAAACACCCCUUCCAAGCCUGUAUCUCUCAGAGCAUCUUUUGCAGCAUCUAGGAUAUCCAAAUGACCAAUCAAGAACUGUGGAAUGGCUUGAGGCCACACUCUCACACCUAGUACAAGCGGAUCCUUUGCAUUGGGUUUUAUGAGCAUCUUUCUCAGAUCACGGUCAACUGCUUCUACAAGUUCAUUCUCUGUCUGUAAAGAAAAAGAAAAGGUGUCGAUAACAAAAUGAACAGAGAUGAAAGAAAGAAUGGAGAAUUAACGAAGGAACUAGAUAGACACAUGAUAAUUCAAUGCUCUUAAGUAAGUUGGUCAAAAUUUAACCAAUCGAUGACCUGGAUUAUCCAAUGUGAAAGUACACAAGAGGAUAUUAGUGGCAAUUAUGAGGACCAAAUUAAAUUUGGGAAAACCACAGGUGUACAAUCAUAUGGAUUGGGGACAUUUUGUCAACAGCCCCAACACCAACUUGUCUUUUUUCUUGUCAAGACACUGUCAAUAAAUCUAUGCUUAGCAUCAUUCAUGAAUCCUGACCGAGGUCCAAAUCCUUUUUCCUUUAACAAAUUAUCAUACUUUAGACAAAAUUCCUGGGUUGGUAGCCCCUCCAAUGUAGUUCAAGAGCAAAAUUCUUCCAUUUGGUGCUCGAUUGGGAAAAAGUGAUGAGCUGUAUAUAGUUCCUAAGGUUUCCACCCCUUGGCUGCGUGGAUGCAACUGACCAAAACCCUUAAGCUCACCAUCUAUUAAGCAUUCUGUCCGAAUUGCUUCUUUUGGGUAUGAAAUGGAUACUGCCGCAACUGGUGGGUAAUAAAAUUUUGACAGGGCUUCUGUAGCAGCAGCAGAAAGAGGAUGCAAGAGACUGCUUGCAAUAUGGGAUGGAACUGUCAAAACGACACUUUUGCUCUGCAGAGAAACAAAUCCUUCAGGUGUUUCGUAUGUUAAAUUAUACCCUCCGUUAUCCAAUUUAGUGAUACUUGAAAGCUUCCAAGAUAAUUUAACAUUGCUACCCAACCUUGUUGCAAUUGCAUCAGGCAGCAUAGCAAGACCCUUUCUAAAAGAUCCUACUGUUUGGCCCUUUGGCUUUGGUAGACGCCUGCAAGAUACUAAGUUUAAGGAAUUGAACAUAAACUGAAACAAUUAAUGAUAAUCAGAUAUGCACAACACAAUUAGAUAAUUUUACGGGUCUCGAGGAGGCUUGGGUUUUUUAUUUCUCUCCUGGAUUGUUUUGAAAGUGCCACCAAUGAUACUACUGCCAUUUUGCUCCAGGUUCCAAACUUUUCCAAAUGCUGCUUUCAUGCUUAGUUUUGAAGGAUCACCAGCAUAAACACCUGAACAAAAUGGCUCUAUCAAACGCUCAAAUACUUCAGGGCCAAGGUUACGACGGACGAACUCUUCAACUGACUCCUCAUGUCCUGGUGGUGGAGGUCGAAGUCCAAGAGCACCAAAGCCAGCUCUGAGUUUCCCACCAAUGCUCAUCAAAUCAAAGAAUGGCAGGUCCGUUGGCUUCGAUGGGACCGGCCUUAAUUUCCCAUCCCACAAAACAAAACGCGGCGCGUUAGGAUCUCCCAAUACUAGGUCAUCCUUUAAUCCACUAUCCACCACCAUGGUUAGCAUAAGAUCGGAAGGCUGGAAACUGUUGGGACCCUCUUCCCACAAAUAGCCAUCUCUUUCAACGGUGGUAAUGUUGCCACCGACUCGAUCUCUGGCCUCGGUGACAAUGACAUUGGCAGCAACAUCGCGGUGUUUGGUGACGAGAGCCUGAGCGAUGCAGAGACCGCUAAUUCCACCUCCUAUAAUCACACAGUCCGCCGGGGAAGAAUGUCCACCAUUGGAUUGGGCUUCGCCGCCGAUCUUAGAAGAAGAAAUAGUAGUUGACUGCUCUGUGAUAGAGCACCGGAGUUUUAAAGGUCUGUGUAUGGUUAUUAUGGGGUUGAGUUUGGAGAAUGAGGGAACGAGGGACGGUGUUGACCGGAGAAGAGAGAAGUCUGUGAUGGUUGCCAUGGCGGACUCAGAGAGAGAGAGGCAGCGCCGUUUCGUAGCGUGACAACGCUACUAUGCAAUCACUUCAACUACGGGUGGUCGUGAGUGUUAUCUUGGAUUGGU
rnacentral:misc_RNA from 1 species